UACGUAGGUGACAAGCGUUGUCCGGAUUUACUGGGCGUAAAGAGCGCGCAGGCGGUCGAUCAAGUCGAGUGUGAAAGCCCCCGGCUCAACUGGGGAGGGUCAUUCGAUACUGAUCGACUCGAAGGCAGGAGAGGGAUGCAGAAUUCCAGGUGUAGCGGUGAAAUGCGUAGAUAUCUGGAGGAAUACCGGUGGCGAAGGCGGCAUCCUGGACCGACAUUGACGCUGAGGAGCGAAAGCUAGGGGAGCAAACGGG
rnacentral:rRNA from 1 species